AAAAAUAACUGUGUCUCAAAGAGAGGUCACCCGGUCAUUGUCAACAGCCAAGAGAAAUGGGUGAGCAAGAAUAUUUUGUUGUCAACCCUUGGUGAUGAUAUGCAGCUCCGGAUCGGACUGAGUUGCUUGGAGACUGAAGGACGGUGGCUCUGGGUGGACAACAAACCUUUGAGUCAAACUGGAAUGCACUGUGGGAGGGGACUAAAGCCCAAGCUGGACAUCAGUCUGAACAGUCAGUUCUCGGUUUUGCUUCCAGAGGCAAAGUGAGCUCUGUGAGUUAGUGCUGUUGAAUACCAAGGCAGCCUGACCACUGCAGGGAUGGUGGUGAAUGUGCUUGAGUGACCAGACAGAGCAGCACACCACAUAGUGUGCCCAUCCAACCAUCCAACCAACCAACCAACCAUCCAACCAUCCAUCCAACCAUCCAU
rnacentral:lncRNA from 1 species